UCACAUGUAACAUAAGGAGCUCACGUGAAUUUCAUUUAGCAAUGUCACUUGUAUUGUCUUCUAACUUAUAUUAAUAUUAAUCUUGUAUGACUAUAAUGCAAGCUAAUGCUACUACUGAUAGGCGAAUAGCUUUUGUAGCUACUGGAGGUACUUUGAGUGGUAGGGUAAGAGGACUUGGAAAAGGUGCUAGAGGUGCUUCGAGUGGCA
rnacentral:lncRNA from 1 species